UAGAACUGACACAUGGACUCUAGACUUCGUUGGAAAGCUCUCCACUAAACUUUUAGCACUACUCUUUUAUAUACAUUUCUUGCAAAAAAAAAAAAAAAAAGAAAAAAAAAAAACAUAUAUGAGAGAGAGAAUGAGACUACUAUACUAUCUAUAGUAUUGGAGAAUUUUUAAUUUUUUGGUGUUCAAAUCAACGAUCCACACCAUCAAAUAUAAUCUAGGGUAUAUGAGGUUUUAGAAAUAAAAUAUUAAAUUUUUUUCAACAUCGUUUACUUAGAAAAUAAAUCAUGUCAAAAUGAACGGUGAAAUUAAACAAUUUUUAAAAUUUGAGAAUAUAAUUUUUAAAUUCAAGAUCAAGGAUGUUGGUCUUAAUCUAGAUAGUUUAAAGUAUUUUCUAUCAAAAUUUGAAUUAAUUUAGAUUCUUCUACACCGUUAAACUACAAACUCGCCAUAGUAGUUUUUAAAAUUUGACAAGUUUGAAAUAGUUUGUUCAUAAAGUAAACUAUAUCGAAAAAACUAUAAAAUUCUAUUUCAAAAAAUUUUAAUUAUCCUAAAUCAGUUUUAAUAGUAUGGAUCGUUAAUUUGAACACCUUAAGAUCGAAAACGAAACUAUUAAUACCGGAGGUCCGGUACUAUAGAUAGUAUAUGAGCCUAGUUCUAUAUAGAAUGAGACUAUUGUACUAUCUAUAGUACCGGAGCUAGUUUUAUAAACGCGGAUUCGGAAUUUGACCAACUCUACCGAUAACCG
rnacentral:lncRNA from 1 species